UUCAUUUUUUAUUAUUUUCGUUUUUUAUAAAUAUUUAAAUUCAAAAAUAAUAACUAAUAAUUAACUAAAUAUUUAAAUUUUAUUAUAUUUUUCUCAAUAAUAUUUAAUUUUAGUGAAUAAUUACACCUUUUAUUUUGAAAAAGAAAAACGAAAAUGAUUUAACAAAAUAAAAUAAAGAAAUUAAUUAGGCUGCCACUUGGCUUAAGGAGAGGGCUUUAUCCUCUCCUUUUAAUUAUACAAGCAGAUUUGAAGAGAGGAAAUUUGAACUUAUUAAAAAAUUAUUGUGUCGAUAUCUAAACCCCAAGAUAAUUGGGGCCAGGAAAGAUUCAUAUAUAAACAUAUGCAAAUUUUAGUACUAAAAUAUUCCUUACAUUUGAAAGGGAACUAACAAUUAAAAUAUGAAUGUCAGCUAAUGAAUCAAACUACAAUAUCUAUUUCCUUUAACUUUAAAAAUAUAUAAAAAAGAUCCAUGCACUAAACUGACAUAAGCUAUCAAAUGAUUUAAAUCAUCACGGUAGGAAUAUUCAUAAUAUAUUUCCAAUAGAACCCAUGGGAAUGAUAUUUAAUAUAAGAAACACAAAUGUAUUACAAAAUCAACACAUGUUUAUAUAAACAUAAAGAUAACAAAUGCAGCACAAAAGAAAGAAAGAGAAAAAGAAAAACGAAAAGGGAGAACAUAAAAUUAAACAAAAAAAAAUAGAAGAAAGAAUAUGAACCUGGUUGAAAGCAAAAAUAAAAUAAAACUCCUUUGAUGUAAUAAGGAAUCCUGGCGAGUACGGAUCAACUAUAAUAGGAACACUCCGACGUCGGACUCCAAUGACAAUAGCUAAUCGGCUGAUUCAAACUUUUCAUUCUCUACACUAUUUUGGUUCUUUUUUUUUUAAAACUAUAUUAGCAAAUUGCAGAAAAUAUGAAGAAGAGAAGAUCUGGAAAUUUCUCUCAAAGUUCAUUGUCUCAAAGAAAUCCUUUUCACUCCCAAAAAUUAAAAUUCCCAAAAAAAAACCUCUUUUUCUCAACGUGAUAUCUCCCUUUUAUAGAGGAGCAUAUCAGGUGGUAUGUGAUCAUGUGCCAAAAGAGUUGGAGUGGGAGAAUAUGGGAUUGAGGGGAUAUAGCGGUUGGGACGUGGGAUAAAAGAGAAAAGUGCAGGUUUGUGCUGUGUGACGUGGGUGAGAUCGUGUGUAGUGGAGGUAAUUUGUGAAAGAGUAAAUUUUUACAAAGUGAUGUGAUGGAAAGGGAAUUGUUAAGGGAUGAUGACUGAUGUUUUAUAUAUAAAAAAAAUAAGAAAACUGAAGAGAAGGUGGAACGGUUUACUCAUGAACGAUUUAAAGGCUACUCCAAAUAUUGUAUUUCCUAAUAAUGUGGAGCAAUGUCUUAAAGUGCCAAGUGUAUUUUUAGGAAUCUGUCACUUGGCUUCAUGAGGGGCUUUUGUCUUUGGAUUAUAGAUAGAUUACACUUUUUAUUUUGAAAAAGAAAAACGAAAAUGAUUUAACAAAAUAAAAUAAAGAAAUUAAUUAGGCUGCCACUUGGCUUAAGGAGAGGGCUUUAUCCUCUCCUUUUAAUUAUACAAGCAGAUUUGAAGAGAGGAAAUUUGAACUUAUUAAAAAAUUAUUGUGACGAUAUCUAAACCCCAAGAUGAUUGGGGCCAGGAAAGAUUCAUAUAUAAACAUAUGCAAAUUUUAGUACUAAAAUAUUCCUUACACUUGAAAGGGAACUAACAAUUAAAAUAUGAAUGUCAGCUAAUGAAUCAAACUAAAAUAUCUAUUUCCUUUAACUUUAAAUAUAUAUAAAAAAGAUCCAUGCACUAAACUGACAUAAGCUAUAAAAUGAUUUAAAUCAUCGCGGUAGGAAUAUUCAUAAUAUAUUUCCAAUAGAACCCAUGGGAAUGAUAUUU
rnacentral:lncRNA from 1 species